rnacentral:rRNA from 1 species
AUACUGGGCCUGUAUACCCUAAAAAUACCAGAUUCUGUCUGCUCUUGGAAACUAAGCAGGGUCAAUCCUGGUUAGUACUUCAGUGGGAGACUGCCAGUGAAUACCAAGUGCUGUGGUUU